rnacentral:rRNA from 1 species
GAUGAACGCUGGCGGCGUGCCUAAUACAUGCAAGUCGAGCGAACAGACGAGGAGCUUGCUCCCUUGACGUUAGCGGCGGACGGGUGAGUAACACGUGGAUAACCUACCUAUAAGACUGGGAUAACUUCGGGAAACCGGAGCUAAUACCGGAUAAUAUAUUGAACCGCAUGGUUCAAUAGUGAAAGACGGUUUUGCCGUCACUUAUAGAUGGAUCCGCGCCGCAUUAGCUAGUUGGUAAGGUAACGGCUUACCAAGGCGACGAUGCGUAGCUGACCUGAGAGGAUGAUCGGCCACACUGGAACUGAGACACGGUCCAGACUCCUACGGGAGGCAGCAGUAGGGAAUCUUCCGCAAUGGGCGAAAGCCUGACGGAGCCACGCCGCGUGAGUGAUGAAGGUCUUCGGAUCGUAAAGCUCUGUUAUUAGGGAAGAACAAAUGUGUAAGUAUCUAUGCACGUCUUGACGGUACCUAAUCAGAAAGCCACGGCUAACUACGUG